rnacentral:rRNA from 1 species
AUGGGGAGAAUACUUUCUUUGUUGGUAUAUAACGCAACCAUCUCCCAAAAGUGCCCCUUGAAACAUCCACAGGCUACCGUCAACAUCUUGCCUCAAACUAGAAGGCUCGUCAACCAAUGUGAGCCACCUUGGAGGCUCACUUGCAUCUACGGCGAGCCCGGACGGAGCACCGACACCACAUGUGGCCGCUCCUUCGGGAUCUUCACCUUCGGGACUGCGUACACAUAUGAUAACCGGCGGUCCGGACGAGCAAAUGUCAAGGUGCGGCUGGACCGGGCAGUGGCAAAUAAUUUGUGGCGUGAUUUAUUCAUGGAGGCGAAAGUCCAACACUUGGUGGCACCAACCUCUGACCAUGACCCGAUCCUCCUUCAGUGGGUUCCUGAACUGCCUAGGGAGAAGGCGGGCAGGAGGUGUCGCCACUAUGAGGUGGCGUGGGAACGUGACCACGCACUGCCGGAGGUGAUCCUACAGGCUUGGACAGCGGCUGGUAGUAUGGGGGACCUGGGCGACGUUGCGGCGUCCCUAGGGGAGCUCAUGCAUGCGUUGCAAGGGUGGAUCGACAUUGACAUCAUCACGAGCAUCAAGUCCUCUCCACGCGCCACGGAGGAUGUCCUAGCUUGGGCUCCGGAGAAAUCUGGUGUCUUCUCCGUUCGGUCAGCCUACCGUUUUGCCAUAGACGAGCGCGAGCGUCCAUCGGCAAGCGCCUCGAGCAGGGCACCGGAUGGUCGUCGCGCCAUCUGGAAGACAAUAUGGGGGUGCCCUGCUCCCCCAAAGGUACGAGUGUUUGCAUGGCGGCUGGUCUCAAACUCCCUUGCUACUUGGGCUAAUAAAUUUUCUAGAACUUUGGAGCCUAAUGAUAUGUGUCCACUUUGUGGUGUGGAACGCGAGGAUGUCUUCCAUGCUAUGUGCAGAUGUCCACGGGCAAAGGACCUAUGGAGCGCCAUGGCGAAGGACUGGAUUCUUCCGGACAUCAGUUUGAUCCAGAACACGGGGCCGGAGUGGUUAUUCGGUGUUCUGGAGCCCCUCUCAGAUACUUCUCGCAUGGUGGCCCUAAUGAUAUUCUGGAGAUCAUGGCACGUUCGUAAUGAGAUCAUUCAUGACAAGGAACCGCCCCCCACAGAAGUUUCCUGCAGAUUCUUGCAUAGCUAUAUUUCUUCGCUUCUCUGUAUUCAGCAGCACCCAAUGGGAGACGUUGUAAAAGGCAAAAUGGUGCUCACAGACCCGGCAUGCCUAGCUGGUGUAGUUGCUGCGCCGGUGCCGAGCACGAGAGGCGCAGACCCGCGACCAACAGAGAAGUGGGAGCCUCCCCCUGCUGGAUGGCUAAAGCUGAACGUCGACGGUGCCUUCUCCGAGCAGGGCCGGCCCUGA